UUGAUUUUGGCAACACAUAUGCUAAAAUUGGAAUGGUACAGAGAUGAUUAGCAUAGCCCUCUGCAAGGAUGACAUGUAAAUUCAUGUAGUGUUACUUAUUUAA